rnacentral:misc_RNA from 1 species
GCUCCCUAAAAUUUUUAAACUUUUAAACCCAAUUAAAAGGUCCCCUGUUUAUUUAAAAUAGAACUAGUUAGUCCUUCCAUUUAAUUUUUUUGACAAAAUCCGUUUAACCAAAUGACAUGGCCUCAAUUAGAAUAAAGAGAAGAAUUUUCUACUCUAAAAAUACCCUCACAUAGUACAAAUGCAUGACAGCCCCUCACUUCCUCUUCUCUCCCAUUCUCCACCAUCUUAAUGCCUCAAUACUCUUUGCGCCGUUGUCCAAGCUCCUCUGGAUGGGAUUAUGUUACUUUGCUCUUGAAGGAGCAGUUCAUGGUCUUUACCACUUCAAUUUUUAUCUCCAUU